rnacentral:rRNA from 1 species
UCCUGUCCAACGUUAAUCGGGGCAGGGUGAGUCGACCCCUAAGGCGAGGCCGAAAGGCGUAGUCGAUGGGAAACGGGUUAAUAUUCCCGUACUUGGUGUUACUGCGAAGGGGGGACGGAGAAGGCUAUGUUGGCCGGGCGACGGUUGUCCCGGUUUAAGCGUGUAGGUGUGUGUUCCAGGUAAAUCCGGUUCACUUUAACACUGAGGCGUGACGACGAGGCACUACGGUGCUGAAGCAACAAAUGCCCUGCUUCCAGGAAAAGCCUCUAAGCAUCAGGUAACAUCAAAUCGUACCCCAAACCGACACAGGUGGUCAGGUAGAGAAUACCAAGGCGCUUGAGAGAACUCGGGUGAAGGAACUAGGCAAAAUGGUGCCGUAACUUCGGGAGAAGGCACGCUGACAC